rnacentral:rRNA from 1 species
AGAACGAACGCUGGCGGCAUGCCUAACACAUGCAAGUCGAACGCUCACCGGGCUUCGGUUCGGUGGGAGUGGCGCACGGGUGAGUAGCGCGUGGGAACCUGCCCUGUUGUGGGGGAUAACCGAGGGAAACUUCGGCUAAUACCGCAUAAGCCGGUUGUCUUGAAAGAGAUGGCCGGGAAAGAUUUAUCGCGACAGGAGGGGCCCGCGUCGGAUUAGCUAGUUGGUGGGGUAACGCCCACCAAGGCUGUGAUCCGUAGCUGGUCUGAGAGGAUGAUCAGCCACACUGGGACUGAGACACGGCCCAGACUCCUACGGGAGGCAGCAGUGGGGGAAUAUUGGACAAUGGGCGCAAGCCUGAUCCAGCCAUGCCGCGUGGAUGAUGAAGGCCUUAGGGUUGUAAAGUCCUUUCGGCGGGGAAGAUGAUGACGGUACCCGCAGAAGAAGCCCGGCUAACUUCGUGCCAGCAGCCGC